UCCCCUCUCUCUCUUCUCUAGCCGUCUUCCACAAAUGGAGAUCGAAGUCGCAGGCUCUGCAAGGAUUGAAGAGGCUUCUUGAAGAUCUCUGUCUUCUCAAGUAGCUUAUUGGUUCAAAAGAGUUCUCAUUGAAGAGAUCCCUUUCUAGAGACCUGCUAAAUACAAGAGAUCUAGAUUGUCAGGGAACCGCAGGACGGUGAAUCAUGCCUCCAGUGGUGUAUUAUAAUCUGGGGUCGCUGUAAAUUUGAUAGGUUUUUUUUUUUUUAAAUUCUUUUUAAUUUUUUUUAUUUUAAUGUUGGUGCAGAUCAAAAUGAUAGUGUUUCUGAGGGAAAGAAAUCUAGUUAUGAAUGUUGUUACCGGUUUAGCAAAAUUGUUAAAAUGUUGCAAAAUGAUACUGCAAAACUUGGGUUCAGUCUAAGUUAUCAUUUUGUAAUUAUGCAAUGCACAUGAUUGAGUGA